GCCUGGGGGGCUUAGUCAGUUAAGCAUCUGACUUCGACUCAGGUCAUGAUCUCACAGUUCGUGGGUUCAAGGCCCACUUCGGGCU
rnacentral:tRNA from 1 species